GGGUUGUGAGGUUAAGCGACUAAGCGUACACGGUGGAUGCCCUGGCAGUCAGAGGCGAUGAAGGACGUGCUAAUCUGCGAAAAGCGUCGGUAAGGUGAUAUGAACCGUUAUAACCGGCGAUGUCCGAAUGGGGAAACCCAGUGUGAUUCGUCACACUAUCGUUAACUGAAUACAUAGGUUAACGAGGCGAACCGGGGGAACUGAAACAUCUAAGUACCCCGAGGAAAAGAAAUCAACCGAGAUUCCCCCAGUAGCGGCGAGCGAACGGGGAGCAGCCCAGAGUCUGAAUCAGCUUGUGUGUUAGUGGAACGGUCUGGAAAGUCCGACGGUACAGGGUGAUAGUCCCGUACACCAAAAUGCACAGGCUGUGAACUCGAAGAGUAGGGCGGGACACGUGGUAUCCUGUCUGAAUAUGGGGGGACCAUCCUCCAAGGCUAAAUACUCCUGACUGACCGAUAGUGAACCAGUACCGUGAGGGAAAGGCGAAAAGAACCCCGGCGAGGGGAGUGAAAAAGAACCUGAAACCGUGUACGUACAAGCAGUGGGAGCACCUUCGGGUGUGACUGCGUACCUUUUGUAUAAUGGGUCAGCGACUUAUAUUCUGUAGCAAGGUUAACCGUAUAGGGGAGCCGCAGGGAAACCGAGUCUUAACUGGGCGUUAAGUUGCAGGGUAUAGACCCGAAACCCGGUGAUCUAGCCAUGGGCAGGUUGAAGGUUGGGUAACACUAACUGGAGGACCGAACCGACUAAUGUUGAAAAAUUAGCGGAUGACUUGUGGCUGGGGGUGAAAGGCCAAUCAAACCGGGAGAUAGCUGGUUCUCCCCGAAAGCUAUUUAGGUAGCGCCUCGUGAAUUCAUCUUCGGGGGUAGAGCACUGUUUCGGCUAGGGGGUCAUCCCGACUUACCAACCCGAUGCAAACUACGAAUACCGAAGAAUGUUAUCACGGGAGACACACGGCGGGUGCUAACGUCCGUCGUGAAGAGGGAAACAACCCAGACCGCCAGCUAAGGUCCCAAAGUCAUGGUUAAGUGGGAAACGAUGUGGGAAGGCACAGACAGCCAGGAUGUUGGCUUAGAAGCAGCCAUCAUUUAAAGAAAGCGUAAUAGCUCACUGGUCGAGUCGGCCUGCGCGGAAGAUGUAACGGGGCUAAACCAUGCACCGAAGCUGCGGCAGCGACACUAUGUGUUGUUGGGUAGGGGAGCGUUCUGUAAGCCUGCGAAGGUGUGCUGUGAGGCAUGCUGGAGGUAUCAGAAGUGCGAAUGCUGACAUAAGUAACGAUAAAGCGGGUGAAAAGCCCGCUCGCCGGAAGACCAAGGGUUCCUGUCCAACGUUAAUCGGGGCAGGGUGAGUCGACCCCUAAGGCGAGGCCGAAAGGCGUAGUCGAUGGGAAACAGGUUAAUAUUCCUGUACUUGGUGUUACUGCGAAGGGGGGACGGAGAAGGCUAUGUUAGCCGGGCGACGGUUGUCCCGGUUUAAGCAUGUAGGCUGGUUAUCCAGGCAAAUCCGGAUAAUCAAGGCUGAGGUGUGAUGACGAGGCACUACGGUGCUGAAGUAACAAAUGCCCUGCUUCCAGGAAAAGCCUCUAAGCAUCAGGUAACAUUAAAUCGUACCCCAAACCGACACAGGUGGUCAGGUAGAGAAUACCAAGGCGCUUGAGAGAACUCGGGUGAAGGAACUAGGCAAAAUGGUGCCGUAACUUCGGGAGAAGGCACGCUGGUGUGUAGGUGAAGUCCCUGCGGAUGGAGCUGAGACCAGUCGAAGAUACCAGCUGGCUGCAACUGUUUAUUAAAAACACAGCACUGUGCAAACACGAAAGUGGACGUAUACGGUGUGACGCCUGCCCGGUGCCGGAAGGUUAAUUGAUGGGGUUAUCCGUAAGGAGAAGCUCUUGAUCGAAGCCCCGGUAAACGGCGGCCGUAACUAUAACGGUCCUAAGGUAGCGAAAUUCCUUGUCGGGUAAGUUCCGACCUGCACGAAUGGCGUAAUGAUGGCCAGGCUGUCUCCACCCGAGACUCAGUGAAAUUGAACUCGCUGUGAAGAUGCAGUGUACCCGCGGCAAGACGGAAAGACCCCGUGAACCUUUACUAUAGCUUGACACUGAACAUUGAGCCUUGAUGUGUAGGAUAGGUGGGAGGCUUUGAAGCGUGGACGCCAGUCUGCGUGGAGCCAACCUUGAAAUACCACCCUUUAAUGUUUGAUGUUCUAACGUUGGCCCCUUACCGGGGUUGCGGACAGUGUCUGGUGGGUAGUUUGACUGGGGCGGUCUCCUCCCAAAGCGUAACGGAGGAGCACGAAGGUUAGCUAAUCCUGGUCGGACAUCAGGAGGUUAGUGCAAUGGCAUAAGCUAGCUUGACUGCGAGCGUGACGGCGCGAGCAGGUGCGAAAGCAGGUCAUAGUGAUCCGGUGGUUCUGAAUGGAAGGGCCAUCGCUCAACGGAUAAAAGGUACUCCGGGGAUAACAGGCUGAUACCGCCCAAGAGUUCAUAUCGACGGCGGUGUUUGGCACCUCGAUGUCGGCUCAUCACAUCCUGGGGCUGAAGUAGGUCCCAAGGGUAUGGCUGUUCGCCAUUUAAAGUGGUACGCGAGCUGGGUUUAGAACGUCGUGAGACAGUUCGGUCCCUAUCUGCCGUGGGCGCUGGAGAAUUGAGGGGGGCUGCUCCUAGUACGAGAGGACCGGAGUGGACGCAUCACUGGUGUUCGGGUUGUCAUGCCAAUGGCACUGCCCGGUAGCUAAAUGCGGAAGAGAUAAGUGCUGAAAGCAUCUAAGCACGAAACUUGCCCCGAGAUGAGUUCUCCCUGAGACUUUAAGUCUCCUGAAGGAACGUUGAAGACGACGACGUUGAUAGGCCGGGUGUGUAAGCGCAGCGAUGCGUUGAGCUAACCGGUACUAAUGAACCGUGAGGCUUAACCUUACAACGCCGAAG
rnacentral:rRNA from 1 species